rnacentral:rRNA from 1 species
CGAAAAACCUUACCUACCCUUGACAUGUCCGGAAUCCUGCUGAGAGGUGGGAGUGCUCGAAAGAGAGCCGGAACACAGGUGCUGCAUGGCUGUCGUCAGCUCGUGUCGUGAGAUGUUGGGUUAAGUCCCGCAACGAGCGCAACCCUUGUCAUUAGUUGCCAUCAUUCAGUUGGGCACUCUAAUGAGACUGCCGGUGACAAACCGGAGGAAGGUGGGGAUGACGUCAAGUCCUCAUGGCCCUUAUGGGUAGGGCUUCACACGUCAUACAAUGGUCGGUACAGAGGGUUGCCAACCCGCGAGGGGGAGCCAAUCCCAGAAAGCCGAUCGUAGUCCGGAUCGGAGUCUGCAACUCGACUCCGUGAAGUCGGAAUCGCUAGUAAUCGCGGAUCAGCAUGUCGCGGUGAAUACGUUCCCGGGUCUUGUACACACC